rnacentral:lncRNA from 1 species
ACAGAAUCAGUGAGUGCUGGAGAUGGCUCCGAGGGCAGCACUUUAUCUACUAAGGCAAAACGCACCUGAUGGAGGAAAGAGAGGAGUCCAGUAGAGAAGAAGGAAACUAAUGACUUCAUCCAGAGGAGAUCUAAUCCUCAUCUGUCCAAAUGCUCUUCUGCCGGGAACAUCCUUGGGAGCUGUUCCUGAUGUAGUCAUUGAAGAAUGGAGUCAAGAAGAAAGGCUGAUUUUGAAAGAGAUCUUUUAUUUAGAGUAAAUCUUAUCUGCUACAUCGAAAGGGUGCCAGGAGGUGGCAGCGUGAUCUCCACCUUGCCAGGGAGUUGGACCCAUGGCAACCUUGAAGCCAGGAUUCAAGCAGGGAUGCUGCAAGCCAGCUGGUCCAGAUAUGGAAGCCUGAGAAAGUCACGGUUCCUUGGACUCAAGUCUGAGAGAAGUUUUGGACUCCGAGCUGGGACUGUCCUCUAUGGAACUGAGCUAAACUAUGAGCCUAAUCCCAUUCUCCACCCCAGAGAUCGAAGGGAUGCAAGACAGAGGAGAAUUAUACUUCCCCCAUGUUGGGGAAGUUCUUAUGUUUGUCAUUACAUCUUCUGAAGUAAUUUCUGAAGAUAUUUCUUUGUAAAAACUAAUCUGUUAAUGGAAAAUGGAAACCCUACAGGUGAGGGAACACUAUUAAUAGGGGCUAGAGCCAUUUGCAGAGAGCC